rnacentral:rRNA from 1 species
UGGGGAAUUUUGGACAAUGGGCGAAAGCCUGAUCCAGCAAUGCCGCGUGUGUGAAGAAGGCCUUCGGGUUGUAAAGCACUUUUGUCCGGAAAGAAAUCCUUGGCUCUAAUACGGUCGGGGGAUGACGGUACCGGAAGAAUAAGCACCGGCUAACUACGUGCCUGCAGCCGCGGUAAUACGUAGGGUGCAAGCGUUAAUCGGAAUUACUGGGCGUAAAGCGUGCGCAGGCGGUUUGCUAAGACCGAUGUGAAAUCCCCGGGCUCAACCUGGGAACUGCAUUGGUGACUGGCAGGCUAGAGUAUGGCAGAGGGGGGUAGAAUUCCACGUGUAGCAGUGAAAUGCGUAGAGAUGUGGAGGAAUACCGAUGGCGAAGGCAGCCCCCUGGGCCAAUACUGACGCUCAUGCACGAAAGCGUGGGGGAGCAAACAGGAUUAGAUACCCCUGGUAGUCCACGCCCUAAACGAUGUCAACUAGUUGUUGGGGAUUCAUUUCCUUAGUAACGUAGCUAACGCGUGAAGUUGACCGCCUGGGGAGUACGGUCGCAAGAUUAAAACUUAAAUGAAUUGACGGGGUCAUAGCUGUUUCCU